rnacentral:lncRNA from 1 species
AACAAUCCUUGGGGAAUUUAAUUUCUAUUUGCCUUUGCAUCUUUGUAUUUUUUCCACACUAAUACAGGCCCCUUGAAUUCUUGUCCUGUUUGUUUUCAAUUCCUGCUGAGACAAUUUUGAAUAGUUUCUGAGAUCCUAUUAGAUUUUCAUUUUGGAUACAUCAUAGUUUUUAUUCGUGUUCUGCUUAGUGUUGUCAGUCAUCCUGAAGGAAGAUUAGCCCUGAGCUAACAUCUGCCGCCAACACUACUUUUUUGCUGAGGAAGACUGGCCCUGAGCUAACAUCCAUGCCCAUCUUCCUCUACUUUAUAUGUGAGACACCUGCCACAGCAUGGCUCCACAAGCAGUGCAGGUCUGCACCAGGGAUCUCAACCAGUGAACUCCGGGCCACCAAAGUGGAAUGUGCGAACUUAACCACUGUGCCACUGUGCUGGCCCUUCUUUAACAUUUCAUGUCUUUCUUUUUUCAAAAUGUUAUCUGGGG